UACGUAGGGGGCUAGCGUUGUCCGGAAUCAUUGGGCGUAAAGCGCGCGUAGGCGGCCCGGUAAGUCCGCUGUAAAAGUCCAGGGCUCAACCCUGGAACGCCGGUGGAUACUGUCGGGCUAGAGUCCGGAAGAGGCGAGUGGAAUUCCUGGUGUAGCGGUGGAAUGCGCAGAUAUCAGGAGGAACACCGAUGGCGAAGGCAGCUCGCUGGGACGGUACUGACGCUGAGGCGCGAAGCGUGGGGAGCGAACAGG
rnacentral:rRNA from 1 species